rnacentral:rRNA from 1 species
AUUGAACGCUGGCGGCAGGCCUAACACAUGCAAGUCGAACGAGUGGCGGACGGGUGAGUAAUGUCUGGGAAACUGCCCGAUGGAGGGGGAUAACUACUGGAAACGGUAGCUAAUAACGCAUACCAUCGGAUGUGCCCAAAAGGGAUUAGCUUGUAGGUGAGGUAACGGCUCACGUAGGCGACGAUACCUAGCUGGUCUGAGAGGAUGACCAGCAAUACUGGAAGCGAGAGACGGUCCAGACUCCUACGGGAGGCAGCAGUGGGGAAUAUUGCAUAAUGGGCGCAAGCCUGAUGCAGCCAUGCCGCGUGUAUGAAGAAGUCCUUCGGGUUGUAAAGUACUUUCAGCGGGGAGGCGUUACCCGCAGAAGAAGCACCGGCUAACUCCGUGCCAGCAGCCGCGGUAAGAC